rnacentral:rRNA from 1 species
CAGCCGCCACGGUAAUACGGAAGGUCCAGGCGUUAUCCGAAUUUAUUGGGUUUAAAGGGAGCGUAGGCUGGAGAUUAAGUGUGUUGUGAAAUGUAGACGCUCAACGUCUGACUUGCAGCGCAUACUGGUUUCCUUGAGUACGCACAACGUUGGCGGAAUUCGUCGUGUAGCGGUGAAAUGCUUAGAUAUGACGAAGAACUCCGAUUGCGAAGGCAGCUGACGGGAGCGCAACUGACGCUUAAGCUCGAAGGUGCGGGUAUCAAACAGGAUUAGAUACCCGCGUAGUCCCUGUCUCUUAUAC